GUUUACGGUCGUGCAUUCGCUCUCACACACGAGAGAGGAAAGUCCGGACACCACAGAGCAAGAUUCCUCUCGAAAGAGAGGGACGAGUCUUUGACUCGGACGGCUGUGUCACAGAAAACAAACCGCCUGUGAAAGCAGGUAAGGGUGAAACGGCGAGGUAAGAGCUCACCGCAUAGGCAGCGAUGUCUAUGGCAAGAUAAACCCAAUCUGGUGCAAGACGGAAUAGGGAGUUCGGUUGCUCGCCGGAAAACUUCGGGUUCGUCGCACUCGCAAGAGCAUCGGGUCUAUGAUGGCCCGGUGAGAUAAAUGAAUGCAACCUUUUCGGUACAGAAUCCGGCUUAUAGACCGUAAACAUUU
rnacentral:RNase_P_RNA from 1 species